rnacentral:rRNA from 1 species
UGACUGGGCGGCGGACGGGUGAGUAACGCGUGGGUAACCUACCUCAUACAGGGGGAUAACAGUUGGAAACGGCUGCUAAUACCGCAUAAGCGCACAGUACCGCAUGGUACCGUGUGAAAAACUCCGGUGGUACGAGAUGGACCCGCGUCUGAUUAGCUAGUUGGUGGGGUAACGGCCUACCAAGGCGACGAUCAGUAGCCGACCUGAGAGGGUGACCGGCCACAUUGGGACUGAGACACGGCCCAA